AAUCAAUGCAAACUAUGUAUUUAAAUUGAUAUAUUACUUUGUGUCCCUCAGGGACUUCAGAAAGGUUUUUGUCUUCUACAGCUUAACAACUUCACUACCAGAACUUUCCAUUAAUCAGGCCAAAUUGGCUCUAAGGUAUACACAUAUUUGGGGGUGCAGAGAGCCAUAUCUCUGAAGCAAUGCUGCACAUUUUUGCAGAGUUUCUGGCAUAUGAGCUGUCUUGUCAAAUCAGCCUGUCUCAGCUUAGCUUCUUUAAAGUCACACUAUUUCAAAUGGAGCCAUAUAAAAAAAAGGAAAGAGUAGUCUGAUUUGCAGGAAGCCUCGGGCGAUGGUUUUGAGGAGAGCAUGAUAAGCAGGGGGUGGGCGCACAUACUGAUCCAUUUCUAAAAGAUGACUCUGAGCGGUUCUGGUAGAGCUGUUAUUUCAUGUUUUUUUUUUUUGGGAUACAGGCACCCCGUUCUCUUUGAAGUCACUGUCACUCAUGGGAAGGCGGUGAAGGUGAUGCACUAGGGCAACAUGGCCUCUUGCAUAAUUCUUCAUUCUUUCUUACCAGAGGGUCUGUGCCUGACUGGAGCAUAUGUCACAGCGGAAAGCAACAACAUCUGGCAACAGACAAUGAGAUAUCAGAGCUGAGUGACCUCCUCUGUUGGUGCAAUCUACAUCUGACCCUAGACCAUGAGUGUUCGGCAUUUGUUGACUGUCCACUGACCAGCAACAACCUUCCAGAUCACUGAAAAUGCCAGGCGGGUGGACCACCGGUCCUCUCUUAUCAUGAAUGAUGGCAUGGCAUCAUUUUAAAUAAGUGUUGUUUGUUCCUGAAUAAAGUAGACUGUUGCAAAAAUGUUGUUAUUCA
ensembl:lncRNA